GAUGAACGCUGGCGGCGUGCCUAAUACAUGCAAGUCGAGCGAACAGACGAGGAGCUUGCUCCUCUGACGUUAGCGGCGGACGGGUGAGUAACACGUGGAUAACCUACCUAUAAGACUGGGAUAACUUCGGGAAACCGGCGCUAAUACCGGAUAAUAUAUUGAACCGCAUGGUUCAAUAGUGAAAGACGGUUUUGCUGUCACUUAUAGAUGGAUCCGCGCCGCAUUAGCUAGUUGGUAAGGUAACGGCUUACCAAGGCAACGAUGCGUAGCCGACCUGAGAGGGUGAUCGGCCACACUGGAACGGAGACACGGUCCAGACUACUACGGGAGGCAGCAGUAGGGAAUCUUCCGCAAUGGGCGAAAGCCUGACGGAGCAACGCCGCGUGAGUGAUGAAGGUCUUCGGAUCGUAAAACUCUGUUAUUAGGGAAGAACAAAUGUGUAAGUAACUAUGCACGUCUUGACGGUACCUAAUCAGAAAGCCACGGCUAACUACGUG
rnacentral:rRNA from 1 species